rnacentral:snoRNA from 3 species
GAGGAUGAUGAUUUCAAAUUUGUCGCCCCAGUCUUAGGGUCCACUUAGGUGGAUCUGUGCUGAUGGACAUAUUACUAAAUCUGACUC